AACUCCUACAGGAACAAAGAUUAAGAUUGAAAUGAGAUUAUUGUUAAUACGAGUGUAAAAAUCAUGUGAAAGACAGGAUCAAGUAUCGAGUAACAUUCUGAUGAAUCUUAGCUACUCCAUUUACAUUAGUAAACAAGUGUCAUGUCUAAACAUCUCUCAUGCUGUGAGAAUCGAUGAGAUUCAAUCAAACUGUAGCUCAUCCUUCUAAAUAUUUGACACGAACAAAACAUCAAAUCUCUUUCAGUUUAGAUCAUGUAUAAGAUCAUGUUAUAGAUUGAUUCAGAUGAGAUUUCCCCUUAGAUUUUGAAAAAUUGCUUUACCAGCGACUUGCUUGAAUUUUUCCUCGCUUUGGUCUUUCAUUCUCGGUUUUCAAUGAAUCACUUCUGAUUACAGAAUUUUAAAUUUCAAACAAUGCUUGUAAACUGUGUGAAAGACCAAACUGUAAUUUGUUUAGUAUCAUUAAAUGUUUAUAGAUAUUCCUAGAUAACUAUUUACUUUGAUACAACAGUUUCAUUGCUGGUUAUAAGCUUCUGUUAUAAUCACUUUGAAAUACCAAUCAUCCGCUAUUAGUUGAAUGUAAUUAAUGGCAUAACUGAAGUUAUAUCAUUAAUUAUCUAUUAUCACUGUGAAAUGCAUUUUUCAAUGAAUAAAUGAAAGAGGUAAAAUAAUGUUUCAAUAUGAUUAUGUAAUGGCUGACAAAAUUUUUCAUAUCAGAAUCAUCUUACCAAAGUUAAAACCCAUUUUACCAUCUCAGCUACAAUUUGUGGAUACAUAUUUCAUGGCUUCAGUAAUAUUUGGUUUUGCUGCCUGUUUCAGUCUUCCAUGGAAAUCAAACAAAGAUAUCAGAUUCAACCAUAAUGCAAGCUAAAAGCAAUUUACCUGUUUUAAAAAGCUAUAUUUCAUUUUGGAUUAAACGAAAGGAGAUGGAAUAUGAAACUGUUCAACAAAACGGAUGUUAAAUGAUCAAUGGUGCAAAAAUUUGAACCAAUGCUGCUGCUAUCGUUGAGUGAUUGAUAUUAAUUUUGAUAUUAAGUCUACGACUAAAGGAUUGCAAAUAUAAACUGAUAAGAGAUGAUGAUGGAUCAUGAAAGGAAAAUUGGUCUAAGGGUCAAAUCAAGGUUAAAUGGAGGUACAUUUAAAUUACCUGAUUGAAUAAUAUCAAGUAAGGUUGCUCCCAUGGCAGUUUUCCUGGUCUUUAGAGCAUCAAA